rnacentral:rRNA from 1 species
CCUACGGGAGGCAGCAGUGGGGGAUAUUGCACAAUGGGGGGAACCCUGAUGCAGCGACGCCGCGUGGGUGAAGAAGCGCCUCGGCGCGUAAAGCCCUGUCAGCAGGGAAGAAAAUGACGGUACCUGAAGAAGAAGCCCCGGCUAACUACGUGCCAGCAGCCGCGGUAAUACGUAGGGGGCAAGCGUUAUCCGGAUUUACUGGGGGGAAAGGGGGCGCAAACGGCGAUGCAAGCCAGGAGUGAAAGCCCGGGGCCCGACCCCGGGACUGCUCUUGGAACUGCGUGGCUGGAGUGCAGGAGGGGCAGGCGGAAUUCCUGGUGUAGCGGUGAAAUGCGUAGAUAUCAGGAGGAACACCGGUGGCGAAGGCGGCCUGCUGGACUGCAACUGACGUUGAGGCCCGAAAGCGUGGGGAGCAAACAGGAUUAGAUACCCCUGUAGUC